UAUUACAUUUAAAAUUAAGAGAAAAGCACAAAAGUUCUCCAUAUUUUGACAUGUCCAAUAACCACUUACAUGCUUAGGGAUAGCUAAGCAUCUCAGCAAGAUAUAAUCUACAUUUUAGUGUCAGGAAUGCGGUAAGUAAUUUGAACAUAUAAGAGCAAGGAAAUGUGUCUUUUCUGUGAAGCCCCCUGGGCUCCAUGGGAAGUGCCACAGACUGACUGGGUGUAAAUAUGAAGCUAUCUAAUUAUUAGCUGUUGUAUUUUUAUGAUAAAUAGGAACUAAUAAAAUGGAAAACUAGGUACAAUUGUGUCCCAGAAAAAGCUUUACUGCAGCUAUAAAAAUUAAACUUCAUAUGCUGGACUAUAUUCUUAGAAGUUGGAAAUGACGUUCAGAAUCUCUAAGGCCUUUUUUUUUGUAGAUGUCUUGUCUCCAUUGUGCUGCUGGUUUAUUAUUUUCCAUGGCCAAAUAUUUGUUACAUUUCCUCCUGGAAUUUUUUUAAUGGAUUUUCUUGCUUCGAUAGGAUAAGAUGCAUGUUUAAAUGCCUCUAGGGGUAAAUAAUUUCACAUCCACACUUUCAAGCACAAAGUCUGGAUCUUCAGUAGGUUUUUACAUUAUGCAAGUAGACGUUUAAGGUACUUAAUACUUUCCAACCUCUAGUGCCCUUUUUACACAGAGACAGGCAGUCAGCAGGGAUUAAUCUGAUCCUAAUUAACCACAAACUCUUCUGAUAUUUGGUCACUGCACAGUAGCGUGCUGCCAGGUACACAGAGGUAAACUGAUCUGGAUUAUCUGCUGGUGCAUGUGGUUCGCGGAGGGAGGUCUGGUGCUCCGUGCCGUGGGUGAGUUACAGGCAGAUACGGCUUUAAGCCCGGAGCGGGGAGACCGCUGUACGAAGCUGGAGUUGUAAGGAAAGGGGAAAGCACUAACUGGAAGACCUCUUCCUAACGGCUUUCUGUUGAGGUUUCCUUUUUACAGAUAGCAUUUGUCAGUGCUGCGCUGCAACAGGGCAGAAAGCGAAAAGCAUGAAAAAUCCAAAGAGCAGAACAGUUUCUUCUUCUUUUUCAGCAGUAAAGGAGCACGACUUUGUGGAUACAAGUCCUCUCUCUUUUUCUGGCCCAUGUACGAGCACCAUGUCUGAUGGAGCCUUGGGAAGGUGCGAGCGAGCGUGCGCGUGUCUUUACUGGCGCGCAGCCCACCAUGGCUCUCGUCUUUCUUCCCUUACUGAGCAGCUGAGCUCUGCCCGCCUCUCACAACACAGAAAGCAGAGUGCUGAAGGUCUUCCCCGGCCUCACGGUAGCCCAUAAAGCAAACAACAAGCAGAAGUGGUGAGCAAGAGGAACUGUGACGUCCAGUAUUUCUGCCAAGAGGUCUGGGCGAUGGGCUCAGCCUGUCCUUGUGAGUGCUGUGAGUGACAGCUGAGCGGACUUGAAGGGACAGCCAGGCACAGGGACGAAGAAUCCUGCCGGAGGAAAAUCAAGGUGUUCCUGUGGAUGGAAAAAGGGAGGAAGCAGCAGAAUAAAGGUCAGAAGAGACAAAUCUCCCAGAAAUGGGAUCCUGAAAAGUAACUUGCUGUCCUGAAGUGGCUAAUAUUAGGCAAAUUCGCCACAGAGCUAGGUGGUAGUUCUUCAGAUACCAUGGUGACCACGGCACCUCCGAUCCUCUGAGAACAGCUUGAUUCACUGCCUGGGCUUUACCUUUCUUCAGAUGGCCCCAAACAGGAGAGGCAAAAACCAGCUCAAGCCAUAGAAGUAGGCAAGCAGGUACUCGCAUGAACAAGCGCUGGUUUCCAGCAUGAAGUUUGUUUAUUGCUAUCCCCUUCCUUUUUUUGCCCCCUUAACUCUGAAGCAUUGUCCCUGAGCCAUAGCGGUUCUUGGAGAUCAAGAGAGUAAAAAUAAUCUCCAGAGUAGCAGUGAUUUUGGGAAGCUGCCCUCUCUUGUAUCAGUGUGCAGCCUGCUUCGUAUCCAGCCAUGAGCUCUUGCCGACACAGCUGGAGUCUGGCAGGAGCAGAGCGCUGGCUCCAAGCUGAGCUUUCACGGCUCAAAUGUGGGCUCAGCUCUUACAGAAAACAUUCACUGCCUUCCCCUCCUUUAAAGUGAAGUCUGCUGGAAUAUACAUCUAACAGAAUAACAUCAUUUUGUUUAGGUUUCUCUCUAGUAAGCAGCUCUGCAUUAGACCUAGUUUCGGUAACACAGUGUUACUCAUUUUUUCUCUGGGGAGGCCGAGGGAGCACGUGGCUGAGGGUCUUGUGCGAAGCCAGGCAGAAGGCAUGUGCCAUUAACUACAGGAUGGCUGCUGGUGGUUCAUCUGGAGUUGUUCCCUGUGCACUUUUGUUCUGAGAUGCCUUUCAAGCUGGGACCCUCAGCGCUGUUAUAUUCCUCACCCCUGAGGUUGUACAAACAUGGCAAAUCUGUGUUCUGGAAGAAGACAAAAUUAAACUGUUAAACUAUCUAUCUUGUUUUAUCAGAAACAUUACUAGUAAUAGAAAAGAAAAAGUGUUACAAAGCUAAUUGCUCUUUCUGAAGGUGACUUUAGGGACACGACGAUGUGCUGAUUCUGCUUGAGAUGUGGCAUAGCACAUAUGC